CGAGCUGCAGAUUUGAGUGCCAGUGGACAGUGGACACGGCCAUUUUCAAGAAUAAAGUCUGACUCAUGAGUUGCACGAGAGAGGAUCAUUUUUUGGGGAAAGCCUGCUACCAUCUUCUCCGUUUUUCUUUAGUGCACACAACAGAGAACACGGAAGUCUGCAAGCUCUAAGCCCAGUGUCCAGAAGUCUCCAUCGAACAGUUUUGGAACUCACUGUGACACCCUGUUGUUCUAGCAUCCCCUCCAGCUGUCUUCUGGAUGCCUUGUGAUUCCUGUGGUAUUCUGUGAUCAGAAACAAAUUAUCCUGAAGAGUAGUGGACCUUCUGCGACCACAUCUGCCAGAACGUCUGAACGACAGACCUUCACAAGUAUUCAGUUUCUUCCGCAUUCGGCUGACAGCUGGCUGACUAACUCCGACCUUCUUGGCAAUUUCUGAUCCAGGAACACCUUUGAUCAGAAUCUCAACUUUUGUAUGCUUUUGUGGCGUUAAGUCAGCCUGUUUACCCAUUUUUAAGACUGUCGCUGCGUCAUUAUGACAUCAUUUUUCUUAAGUAGGUAAGUAACAUGUAGUAAUUUCUUGCAUCUUUUUCUUUUUCUUAAAGAAUUAGCAAACUGAAAUGAUUUUGCGAAUAUCUGAAAAAGCCAGACUGAAAAUCACUAAAGAAACGGGUAAGAAAUUUUCAUUAUUUGUUGAUAUUUGUAUUAAUUUGGCCAGCACUGUAGAUGGUAUAUUUUUCUCUUUCCUUUCAAUGAAAUUUUCUUUAUGCACUCCACCCUUUCCACUGAUAUUGAGUAAUUUCUAAAUGUUCAGUAGGAGUCCGAAAUUUUUUUUUUUUUUUUUGUGGUGAUUCUGUUUUGGGGUAGGUAAUAUUGGUUCUCCCUUUGUUAUGGAAUUGGCCAGGGCAAUUACCACAAUUUAGUAGGUUUUUUUUCCCAAUCCAAAUCUGUUUCAUCUUAAUUUUCUGUGUGGGUUCUGAUAUAUUUUAGGCACCUUUUUUAUAUGCUGUGCAGCAGGUACUAAAGGAGGAACUACAUUUUGUUUACUAGAAAAUCUUAUUUGGACUUUUCUAGUUGUAUACCUAAUAACAGGGCCCUCUCUGAGGUUGUAUCACAGGUGUUAAUAUAUUUCUGAGUUACUAGCCUCGGGCAUCAGUACUACUUAGAGGAAUAUUUUGUGGCCAUUUCAGUAGGAGUGUCGACGGAUGCAUUUAAUUUCUCAACAUUUUCUUUGUGAAAAUUAGAUCUUAUUGCAAACAGGUUGCUUCUUCCUAGGAUUUUAACUUUUUGCUAGGAAAAGUUAACCUCUCUAUCUGAAUCUGCAUGACUCACAUAUUCUAAGUUUAUAUAGUUGUUUGCUCUGACAAUCUAGUACAAGAUUAGUGUCAGAGUUGCAAGCUCUUUUGGAGUGUAAUUCUAUCUGCUCUGCUUCAGCAGUAGGGUAUCAAUAAGAACAAAUCUCUCAUUCGUGCCCAAGGUAAUUUCAGAGGUUGAUUGAGCCAGGCCAUCAAUUCUUCUAGAGUUCUAUUUUACUUUUCAGAACCAAGUCUUUAGAAAGGCAUACUUUCCUUGAAUUGAUGGAAAAUUGGAAAAUGGUGAAUUCUAGAAGCUUUCUAGAAAUAUGUGGUGAUCUGUAUAUACCUCUACAAGUUAUUUACAUACUGGAAUUGUAGGUUAGGCCUAAGAUUGACAUUGCUAAAACAUUCACCAGGUUUUCAUGUAUUCAUAUUCCUUCUCCCAGGUAAAAUUAAGCUGUGGUAUUCUACCUAUAAGCUACUACAGCAGUGGGAAUGGCAAACGUAUUGCCGUAGUGUAAGCUCUACUUACCUGAUAUUCGGACUCCUCAUUGCUGCAUCCAGCUAUCACCACCAUCCCCCUUCUGAUGUGUUUGGUUAGUUCAGGAUGAGUAUGCUGCUACUUAACUAGUUGGCAAGCAAGUCCUAAAGAUGUUCCACUCUGCUGAUUUGCCGUCUGCAGGUCUGGCCAGUAAGUAGUCAGAAUGGAUCAGAGGGAAGAAUCCAGGACUUUUGGAUUGCUGUGUCUUGGGCAAGACGCAACCCGUAGGCUAGUGCAGCAGUGACGAUUUGAGCACCUACUUUUAUAGGCAAGUGCAACUUGCACAGUCUGGCUUGAAAGGUACCCAAAGUGACAGUUGUGUAUCUACAUGGUCGUCACUGGAAAAGCAGAGCUUUGUAGAAUUAGAAGUUUGAGGAUGAUCACAUCCUUAAUAAAGUAUGUUUUAAAGGCAAUAGCAUCAUAAAACUUGAAAAAUAACAUACCUUUCAUCUUAUGUGGCACUUAAUAUUCCUUGCGUCUGUCACUCUGAUACUUGAGUAAUUUCUACUAUACGAUUCUCUGAUUUGCCUUGUCAUUUGCGUAAAACUGAUUUGCAUGAGCCAAGCUCAGGUAUUUGAGUUCCCAAGUUGUAGUGAGGAUUUUGCUACUGUAAGAGGAAAAAAGUUACCCCUUACAGUGAAUUGAAGUAGUAGCAGUUACAUUAGUGUAUUUUGCUAACUUUAAAUUCAAGAAAUGCAUAUGAUUGUUAUGUAGAUCUUUGUUUCUGUAUGUAUUAAGACGUGUAUGUGUAUACAUAUGUAUCACAGAAAUGGUGUGCCUAACCUGAUUUCCUGUCAAUAAUUGCAUCAUUGUGCUUAUUCUUUGUACAUGUAUGUGAUUGUAUUUGCUGGCUUGGUGAGAGUCAUGGCUGAAAAAGGUCUUUGGACCAGUCCACCUACCCUAGUAACAAAUGUUAAGUAAGUUGAUCUCUGGAAUUGUAACAAAAGAGUGCUUGAACGGACUGUGUUUUGCAUGAGUAUUACUUUGUCCUUUGCAACGGCAUCCUUUGUGGUUGUCUUUUUUACACCGUAUUUCAAGAUGCAUUUCAAUGCUAGCCUGAAGAGUAGCUUAUUUUUAUUCAGACUUUUUUUUAAAUGUCACUGGCGAUGUGACAAGUAUCUAAAACAAGCAAUGUGAUUUGUAAAAACUGACUUGUUUAGCAAAAUGGCUUCAGGCAUAUAUCAGUGAAGUUUGUUUUGUGGUCAGGCACCAGUGAUAUUACAUUAAAGGGAUGAUAGUACACUUCAUGAAAACAGAAUAUUGACAUUUGAGUGGAGAUUUCCUUUAAUGGGCUACCAAUGCAUAACUCCUUAUGCAGAUGUUUCACCCCGUGCAUUUAUAUUAUUGGAGUAGCUGUUUAUAACUUACUGGUAAAGUACAGUAGUUUGGUAAAAAGGCCUGGUGUGAUGCAUGUGGGCAUUUCAGACACUUUCUGAAUCUGUCCUUUCAAUGAAACAUUUUGUCUUGGAUGGCAUCUCCGGUAGUUCAUUUUGGGGGAUUUUUCUGCUAUUUUUCCAUAACCUGUAUUCAGCAUGGUAUGUAGUCAUUGUUGUUACAAUGCAAGAGCUCUCUGCAGGGACCAUAUCGGUUUGGGAAAAUGCAUGAUUCCAUUGUAAUCUGUACUUCAGGUUGUAGACCUUAGUUAUUAGUUGGUGCACAGUAGGUUUGCCCUCUAAUGUGAUGCAUUUGUUCUUGUUAUGCUGUUACUUAGUAUUACUUACAGGCACUAUCCACUUGCUUUGCCUAGUAUUACUUACACAGGCACUAUCUGCUGGCUUUGCCUGUCCUGCAGUAACAAAUUGGCUUCUGUUUAGCAGUGUGGGAAUUUAGUGUUCUUGUCCUUGGGGUUGCAUACUUUGGUGGUGUGCAGAUUUUCCCCCGCUCCCUUUCUACAACAUGUUGACCUGUAGAUAUUUGUUCCUUUUGUCAUUUGUAAAAUUGAUGGAUUUUGGAAACUGUUUUUCUCAUAUACUUAUUUAUUUGUAUAUUGGACAAGCACUUGUUUGGUAUGCUUCCUACCCACCUCCUGAUUUUCAAUGCCAGAUAUGUUUUUUUUUUUCCCCUCCCCCCUCCAUAUUCCUGAAAGUCAGGUACAAUAUGUCCACUGAAAACUUCACCUAAACUGUAGUCUUAUUUUGACAGACAAGUGUGUACCUGCCCCAAGACUAAGAAUUGAUGCCAUGUGUUUGUUUGUGAAGCACAUUAAAUGCUGUGGAAUUUAAACAUUGUCCUUUGUCUCUUUCAUGUGUAACUUGUUAUUUCAGAAUGUUAACAUGGUCGUACUUACAAGUUGAAUGGAGAAAUGUUGCGACAUUGGCUGGCACUCUUCAUGGAACUGUAUUGUUUAUGAUUCCUUUUGAGAGAAUGGUAUUGGGAGUCCUUCCCGAAAGUAGACUGACAUUACAUUGAAGAUUGACCCAUUUUGGAAACUAAUUUAUUGUACAUUGCACUAUGCUUGUUCACUGGAAUGUGUAUACACGUUUUUCUGUGUAAUUAGUCUGUUUACAUUUCUGUUUUUUUUUUUUUUGUUUUUUGUUUUUGUUUUGUUUAUGAAAUGUUUUGUAUUUCCCCCAGGCUGACCCUGAAAUUGGUCAGUCAGUGUACUAACCUGGUAAACAAAAAUAAAUAUGAAAGUCUUUUUUUAAUUUCA